AAUCAACGCUGGCGGCGUGCCUAACACAUGCAAGUCGAACGCGAAAGCCCCGCAAGGGGUAAGUAGAGUGGCAAACGGGUGAGUAACACGUGGGUGACCUGCCUUCGAGUGGGGGAUAACGUCCCGAAAGGGACGCUAAUACCGCAUGACAUCCUGCUUUUGAAAAAGCGGAGAUCAAAGCUGGGGAUCGCAAGACCUAGCGCUUGAAGAGGGGCCCGCGCCUGAUUAGCUAGUUGGUGAGGUAACGGCUCACCAAGGCGACGAUCAGUAUCCGGCCUGAGAGGGCGGAGGGACACACUGGGACUGAGACACGGCCCAGACUCCUACGGGAGGCAGCAGUGGGGAAUUGUUCGCAAUGGGCGCAAGCCUGACGACGCAACGCCGCGUGGAGGACGAAGAUCUUCGGGUCGUAAACUCCUGUCGAGCGGGACGAACGCUUCGCGGAUGAAUAAUCCGCGGAAUUGACGGUACCGCUAAAGGAAGCCCCGGCUAACUCCGUG
rnacentral:rRNA from 1 species